CACUGUACGUAGAUACAUACAUGCACAGAUAUUUGUGCUGACCUACAUUUGGCAGUUUAGUGGAAGGAUGCCCAUCAUCCAACCAUUCUCAUUGCCCCUUAUCCGCAUUAGAUUCGCGGGGGUAUGCUGGAGCAUAUCCCAGCUGACUUUGGGCGAGAGGCGGGAUACACCCUGGACUGGCCUCCAGCCAAGCACAGGGCACAUAUAGACAAACAACUAUUCACACACAUUCAUAUAUAUGGACAAUUUAGAGUCGCCAAUUAACGUUACAUGCAUGUUUUUGGAAUGUGGGAGGAAACCGGAGUACCCGUGGAAGGAUGCCUUAUAAAAUAAGACCAGAGAAAAUAAGAUCCACGUAGAAAUAUGGCCACAUAAGUGACGUGACAAAACUUUACAUAUGAUAUUAAAGAGUCCUACACAGUGUGCUGUAAAUCUGAUGAGAGGUCAAUAGUGUGUGACAAGCAGGGGUGAAUUCGUGAAUUGUCCUGUGGGGUAUUAUGGUGGAAUUGUUGCGAUUGUGAUCUAUCUCUGCCCACUUACUGUUCAAUGCAGGGGUUCCUGGGUAGUGUCCAGGGUGGAAAAGAUGUUUUCCAAGGUCCUUCUUUCUGCCGUUGUCGUUAAAGCCCCCCUUUCUUUAUGACGAUAACAUGACCGUGACAAGCUGAACGUGGCUCUGAUGGCUGAUGUGUGAGAAUUGAUUGCCCUGAUUUGCCUAAAACACAAAGAUAAUACGUAGGUUUGCGGCUGAAACACAAAGAUAAUACGUAGGUCUGCGGCUAAGGAAGCAUUUGAGAGGCUGAAAUCAUAGGAUAUUUAUAUUUUGAAAUGAAAAAGCGAUUAAUCGAAUACCAAAAUAGUUGCCUAGUAAUUGGAUAAUAAUAUUAAUAAUAUUAAUAAUUGCACAUUGCGGCUCCGCUUCACCAUAACACACUUUGUGCACACCUGAUGUUGACAAGAUCUGUGUUGACAAUUUAGCCACUUUGUCGCUAUAUUUAGAGGUGAGAGAGACGGUAAAUGUGGCAACAAACUUGGUGAAAAGAACAGUUAGAAUAAAAAUCAGUAAAAUGUGACAAAAACUAACAAGCAUUUUCAGCCAAAAUACAAACUAAAAUGGCUGCCAAAAACAACACUGGUCUGUGCCCACCACAUACGCAGCUGUCCUCAGCAGUGUGUCCAGUCGUACAGCGUCCCCCGUCUCCAUGCUGCCGCCUGCCCCAGUACACACAUACACACUCGCCACAAUCCAGCACAGAAGAGGACACCGGCCACAACAGAUGGGCAGAACAGCAGCAGCAGCAGUUUUUGGCUGACGUGGAAGGAAGCACAGACAACUUUGUCCAGGAAUAUGGGGUACCUGGCACAGAUUCUGGUGAUCCAGAGUCCCUCAGCCCUGACAUCCAUGCCGGUCCUCAGGAAGUGUUGCACCAGAUAAGUAUGUGUGUUAUGUUUUAUGCAGGCGAUAUGCUAAAGCCUAUCCCAACUGACUUUGGGCAGGAGGCAGGGUACACCCUGGACUGGUCGCCAGCCAAUCACAGGCACAUAUGCAAGUGCGUCCGCUCUCCUCCACAACUGCGUGGAAACUGCCCUUUAUGGACCAAAGCAGCCUAACUGGAUGCAGAAAGUGAAGAAGAGACGACGCUGACACCAGACUACGACUACACGGCCACCUUUGACUAUGACUAUGAGAGCCCAUCCCCAGUGCCCCACUGCCAAUCAGAGCCAAAAAACAAGGCAUCAGUGAUUGGUCCACCAUGUCACAUGCUCCUCCUGGGACUGUUGGUCUGUCAGAUGAAAGGAUGAUGGGGGCGGAACCUGACAUCAUCGUCACAACUACAUGCUUCCUGCAACCUUUGACCUCAUUGGCUGUGAACCCUCUGACAAUAAACAUUGUAACAACAAAGUUACCAUGAC